UGAAAUGGGCUAAUGAAAAAGAUUAUCAUUGGAAUGAGGAAUGAGGGGUUUAAAUUAGUACUAAAUGGGCAUUUUCCCAAAAAAUAAAAAUAAAAAACUUCUUUUAUAUGUUUUCUUAAGACUGCUCCCUAACCCAUGUUUGUUACACGGGACACUGUAACCCAGGCUUAAAUUCUAAUAUAGUCUAACACUACUUAAGCCAGGCUUAUUUUUCAAUAAUCCUAACCCAUGUUUAGUGUCACUUAGGACUAAAAAGCAUAAUAACAGUAUACUUCUGACAAUGCAGCCUCUCCAUGCUUCCUAAAACAGCCUCUCCAUCGAAUUUCAUCACCACCUCCUAUUUUCUUUAAAACUGAAUGUGGAAUUGUUGAAAAUAAAGAAAAUUAGAAGGCACAAACAGAGGGCAUAAACAGAUGGUUUUACCAUGCAACAACGCAUUGGCUUUACCAUGAUUGCUUUUGUGUUGUCUGCCAAUUCGCUCACAAUAUCUGUUUCUUGACAUGCUGUAGACCAUGAGUCGGGAUUGAGUCCAAACUCUGAGAAACAAUACCAGCUGAAAUUAUAUUUGUGGACAUAAGAAGAACAAAUACUUCUAAAGCUAGAUACAAGGUAGCACCUAUACACUUUCAAUUUAAUCAACUCCAGAUAUCAAAUAGUGAGCAGAUCACAUGCUUGAUCAUAAAAUUUAUAUCAUCAGAUAGAAUUUAUAGAGAGAGAAGCACAAACGUUUCAGAGAAAAAAAAAAGACCCAGGCAUAAAAUUGAUCAAAUUCUGAGCAGAUGAAGCAAGCCAUACACCAAAUCCUCAAUCAAUUUGUGAAAUAAUCACAGCCCAUAAACAAAUGACAAUAGAUCAUCACUUCCUAGUCUUUAGUAAAACGAAUGACACAGACAAAGAAGAAGGUAGAGUGGGUUGAAGGAGAUAUUGAACAAUAAUCAACACAAGACAGAGAGUGUGAGAAACGAGAGAAACUAAACCUGAAAUCUUCUCGCCCAAGAAGACUAAAGCGAAAGAAACCAAUGAAUGAGAGUGAGACGAUGAGGCUGCUGCCGAGAACGAGCAAGAACAACAUUUCAGCGUUGUGCAGUCCUAUGAAUUUUGGGGCCGCUAUGUAAGGAGGCAUGGAGAGCGUUGGGGACUACGUAUGCUCAUUUAAUAUAGUCCCUAGUGGUGCCAAAUGUGGGACAACACCUGUUUUUUUACGUAAGCCAGUCCAGUCCAGUCUUAUCCCCCGUAACAAACAUGCACUAAGGGACAAUUUUUAAGGGAAUGUGAUGGAUAAGUAGAUUUAACGGUUCAAAAUAAAUCCACAAUUUUAAGUUGUAUUAUUUCUGUUUUUAUAUUUAAUACAUGUGGUUGAGAUGCAUUUGUCCCUCACUCUCUCUUAAAACUGUCCCUCAUGUGUGCAAGCCUUAUUUUUUCUUAUAGUGUUGCGCUGAUCGUAUUUACCGAUCAAUUUCAUUAGUACUUUUGUUACUUUUAUUUAUUUUUCCGGUUUAUCAUCUAAAUUAUUAGUUUUUGAAACUUUAUUCAAAGCAGAGUCAUGGCUUCUCUCCUCUAUUGACUAGCAUUUUUUCACAAAAUAUUGCUUCUCAUGCAACGCAUGCAACUCUCGAAAACAACGUUUAAUCCUUGGUGUCGUAUAUCAUGUUUUGGCAACUGUCUAGCGUCUUGGAUACCCAGAAAUUGAGCCCCUCAUAUAG
rnacentral:lncRNA from 1 species